rnacentral:rRNA from 1 species
AGCUUUAGGAGCGUAAUCUAAGGUUAGAUCUGCCCAAUGUAUUUUUGGAUGAAUGGCCGCGGUACUUUGACCGUGCUAAGGUAGCGCAAUCAAUUGGCUUUUAAAUGAGGUCAGGUAUGAAUGGGGUAACGGAGUUAAGCUGUCUCUAGACUAAUUUAUUGAAGUUACUAUGUAGGUGAAAAAGCCUACAAAAGGAAAAAGGACGAGAAGACCCUUAGAGUUUAACUUAAAAUAAAACAUUUUUACACUAGUUUUGUUGGGGCAACAAAGAAACAUAUUAAAUUUUCUUGAAAUUUUACGAACCGAUAUUAAUAAACCCGAAUAAACUACCUUAGGGAUAACAGCAUAAUUUUAUAGUAAAGUUUGUGACCUCGAUGUUGGACUAGGAAACUAAAAGGUUAGCCACUUUUUAGUUGAGUUCUGUUCGAACUAAUUUUCCU